CCCUGCCUUACACUGUCUGGGGAAGGAAGAUACACAUCAAUGAAGAGCCCCCAGGGGUGGCAGGUGGGGCUGGCAUCACCCUGAGGGGACACCCACUUCUGCUCCUCCCUCUAUUUCCUCACUCCAGCCCCAACCCCAGGCCUCCCACUCACCGGUAGGCCUGUUGGAUGCUGAUGUUCUUCCUCAGGCCAAGAAGCUCCGGCACACCAGCGUCUGCACAUUGCCGCCCACCAGGAAAGUGGCGAAGACGAGGAGGAUGAGGGGGGCGGCGAAGAGGAAGCUGAAGGCCACACCUCUGGAGUUGAGAGACAUGGCUGAAGGGAUGUGGAAGCUGACUGCCCUGGACCAGUGCUUGUCCCCACCCACACCCUGGGACCAGCACGGCUGGCCACGAGCUGGCAACAAGGCAUGCCUCCUGGGCAAAGAAGGCGAAUCCAGCACUCCUGGCAGCUCCUUGGCACCCUCCCCCUCCCCCAUCCAAUUGCUGGGUCCUGCUGCCCUGGAAGCCGAGAGGAAGGACACCUGUUUGUUCAAAGAGCCAUUUCUGGACUUAUGGUCCGUGGAAGUGACCUGCUCCACCAGUGUUCAACCUUUCUAAGUCGUCACUGGCAUAGCGAGACAUGAGUCACCUACAUAGAUAACACUUCAAAGAGACUGCGCAGUCGGGUCCCUUCCACCAGGGCCCCUGACUUACAGAGCCUCUUUGUGCGUGGGCACAGCCCCAUGCCGGGCCGUGAGGUUUGGAGAGUGACAUGUGGGGUGGAUUGCAGCUCCUCAUUAUUCCCUUUGACCAGGCACCUUGUGUGAUAAACAGCCUGGCCAACCGUA